ensembl:snRNA U4 U4 spliceosomal RNA
AGCUUUGUGCAGUGGCAGUAUCAUAGCCAAUGAGGUUUAUCUGAGGCGUGAUACUGCUAAUUGUAAAUAGUGCUGCUAUGAACAUUGGGGUGCAUGUAUCUUUUUGAGUUAGAGUUUUCUCU